rnacentral:tmRNA from 1 species
GGGGAUGUAAUGGCUUCGACAGGCAUUUGAGUUAAUGAAUGGCAGUGGUCUGCAAACCAUAAUGCUUCUAGGCUUUUUAAAUGCAAACUUAGAAAAAAAAGAAGAUCUAUCAUUCAAUUCAAUGAUGAGAUCAAAAAACACAAACCUAGCUUUCGCAUAUUAGUCGAUUCUAGUGGAUUAUUAAAUUGCUCAGUUUAAUAAUUCGGUCUUAGAGCUUGGCAAUAUCAAUUCAAUCUAAAUAUUGCGACAUAUUGAUUGACUAUUAUGGGUAAUUUUGAAUAAUUUAUAACCACUAAUAGUUUAUUUAAAUUGUUCUAAACUGUAGAUAUUCAUUAACAAGGAUGUGUGGACCGGGGUUCAAUUCCCCGCAUCUCCACCA